GUAGGUGGCAAGCGUUGUCCGGAAUUAUUGGGCGUAAAGCGCGCGCAGGCGGGUCCUUUAAGUCUGAUGUGAAAGCCCACGGGCUCAACCGUGGAGGGUCAUUGGAAACUGGGGGACUUGAGUACAGAAGAGGAAAGCGGAAUUCCAAGUGUAGCGGUGAAAUGCGUAGAGAUUUGGAGGAACACCAGUGGCGAAGGCGGCUUUCUGGUCUGUAACUGACGCUGAGGCGCGAAAGCGUGGGGAGCAAACAGGAUUAGAUACCCUGUAGUCCACGCCGUAAACGAUGAGUGCUAAGUGUUAGGGGGGUUUCCGCCCCUUAGUGCUGCAGCUAACGCAUUAAGCACUCCGCCUGGGGAGUACGGCCGCAAAGGCUG
rnacentral:rRNA from 1 species